AUUAUUUCAAAGAGUAGGGUGAAUUCAGGUUGAUUGGAACACUUUUCCAAGCCAUUUCAAUGACAAAAAGUGUUCACACAAUAGUGUACAAACAAUAAUAAAAUAGGCUACUGUAUAGUUUUAUAGUUAUAUUAUCUUAAACUGAUGUCGCAAUCUAUAUAUUACUUUUAUGCUUAUGUGGCAGAUUAGUCAGAUCCUCCCUGUAGUGACGUCAUGUUAUUGGUAGCCUAUCUUCCCGCAGGGAGGUGUGUAUAAAUGGCUGUUUGGUGCGGGCCGGAUGUGCGUCAUCUGUUCUGUGCCUGCGCUCUUCCUGUUUACCGGCAUUCAACAGAGGUCUGUGGUUAAAACACAGCCGUUUGGGCAUUUUAACACCGCUUGUGUCAUUUUGUGGGGCUUUGCGUACACUGGAGAGUCUAUUGUAAACAACCGUUACGUGCGGUCUGGCUCGUUACACUGCCUAGUCCCAGGAGCUGUGUGUCCGACGGCAGUGAGGCUUUCCUUCACCGUGUGCUGUGUUAUGCUGUGUGAGCACCACUGAUAAAAUCACGGGUAUUGGAGUGAGUGUGUGUGUGUGUGUGUGCACUUAGUGUGAUUCUCCUCUUUUGCUCCCUCUCUUAGCCCAUUUGAUGCCAAUAGGCUACAGCUCCGAAGUAAAUGUGAAUCCUUAUUGUGGAUUGUGAUUUCCAGCUUAGUAAUUGGCUGGGUGACUAUUAUUCCUGCAUUUUAAACUUUUGUACUAAUAAACAAACUCUAUUUUGCUACCCA
ensembl:lncRNA